rnacentral:rRNA from 1 species
UACGUAGGGGGCAAGCGUUGUCCGGAUUUAUUGGGCGUAAAGAGCUCGUAGGCGGUUUGUCGCGUCUGCUGUGAAAGACCGGGGCUCAACUCCGGUUCUGCAGUGGGUACGGGCAGACUAGAGUGAUGUAGGGGAGACUGGAAUUCCUGGUGUAGCGGUGAAAUGCGCAGAUAUCAGGAGGAACACCGAUGGCGAAGGCAGGUCUCUGGGCAUUAACUGACGCUGAGGAGCGAAAGCAUGGGGAGCGAACAGG